rnacentral:rRNA from 1 species
GACGAACGCUGGCGGCGUGCUUAACGCAUGCAAGUCGAACGGAAAGGCCCUGCUUGCAGGGUGCUCGAGUGGCGAACGGGUGAGUAACACGUGGGUGAUCUGCCCCUUAUUUUGGGAUAAGCCUGGGAAACUGGGUCUAAUACUGGAUAGGACCAUGCUGUAGGUGGUGUGGUGGAAAGAUUAGUUUCGGUAAGGGAUGAGCUCGCGGCCUAUCAGCUUGUUGGUGGGGUAAUGGCCUACCAAGGCGUCGACGGGUAGCCGGCCUGAGAGGGUGGACGGCCACAUUGGGACUGAGAUACGGCCCAGACGCCUACGGGAGGCAGCAGAGGGGAAUAUUGCACAAUGGGCGCAAGCCUGAUGCAGCGACGCCGCGUGGGGGAUGACGGCCUUCGGGCUGUAAACUCCUUUCAGCCAUGACGAAGCCCUUGUGGUGACGGUAGUGGUAGAAGAAGCACCGGCUAACUACGUG